AGGACGAACGCUGGCGGCGUGCUUAACACAUGCAAGUCGAGCGGUAAGGCCUUUCGGGGUACACGAGCGGCGAACGGGUGAGUAACACGUGGGUGAUCUGCCCUGCACUCUGGGAUAAGCCUGGGAAACUGGGUCUAAUACCGGAUAUGACCUGCUCUCGCAUGGGGGGUGGGUGGAAAGAUUUAUCGGUGCAGGAUGGGCCCGCGGCCUAUCAGCUUGUUGGUGGGGUAAUGGCCUACCAAGGCGACGACGGGUAGCCGACCUGAGAGGGUGACCGGCCACACUGGGACUGAGACACGGCCCAGACUCCUACGGGAGGCAGCAGUGGGAAUAUUGCACAAUGGGCGAAAGCCUGAUGCAGCGACGCCGCGUGAGGAUGAAGGCCUUCGGGUUGUAAACCUCUUUCAGCGAGGACGAAGCGCGAAGUGACGGUACCUGCGAGAAGAAGCACCGGCUAACGUACGUGCCAGCAGCCGAC
rnacentral:rRNA from 1 species